rnacentral:lncRNA from 1 species
UAUUUGCAAUCAUUUAUCUAAUGUUUGCCAUAAAAUUUCCUAGUCCCAUUUCCGCUUAUUCCGUAUCAUUUUUUCAGCCAUAGAAGUAGCAUUGGCAAUCUUUUUAUGUGUCAUUGUACAGCAAAAUCUUUACUCUUUUCAGAACAUGCACAUUAUAUCACGGGAAUUCACAAAGAAUCCUCCAUUUCUUUUUCCAAACUCCAAAUUUUCUCUCAAUAAUAAAACACAAAGAUGCAUAAUAUCGUUUAAAUAACUAUUGUUUGUUUCUCGGAGGAGAACCACCUUUGAAUUAUGACAUAAGAUACCUAUCAACCUCAUUUCGUGAAGACCUAUAGGGAGCCAAAAAACUUUGUUUAUUUGGAUAGCCAGAGUCAACGAGAUAGUAUUUAUCGACCGGUAGUAAAGGAAAAAUUAGAAUCAUUGUUUUGCGCAAUUGUGAAAAUUGUUUUAUCAUGACAUGAACAAGGUGCUUUAUUCCAAACAUAUGUGAAUAACAUAUUAAAAUCACAUAUCACCAUUAUAUUAAACGAUAUAAUAUUUUGCCGAAUCCAAUACAUUCUUUGAACUUCAUACUUCAUUUUAACGCCAACAUGAUCUCCAUCAAUAGCUCCAGUAAAACCCACUAAAAUAAGGCCAAUAUCACUUAUCCAUUAGUAGUCGUUAUGGAACUCAUCUUACUUCUUGUGUAGUUGGAGUCUAGACAUAGUCAUAAGCAAGCACUUCAGUCGCUCGAAAGACUUUAAAAAAAGUUCUAAUUCACUCUCUCUUG